rnacentral:rRNA from 1 species
GGGUUCGGGUGGCUACCAUGCAGUCGAACGGUAAGGCCCUUCGGGGUACACGAGUGGCGAACGGGUGAGUAACACGUGGGUGAUCUGCCCUGCACUUCGGGAUAAGCCCGGGAAACUGGGUCUAAUACCGGAUAGUACUGCGCGGUGCAUGCCGUGUGGUGGAAAGAUUUAUCGGUGCAGGAUGGGCCCGCGGCCUAUCAGCUUGUUGGUGGGGUAAUGGCCUACCAAGGCGACGACGGGUAGCCGGCCUGAGAGGGCGACCGGCCACACUGGGACUGAGACACGGCCCAGACUCCUACGGGAGGCAGCAGUGGGGAAUAUUGCACAAUGGGCGCAAGCCUGAUGCAGCGACGCCGCGUGAGGGAUGACGGCCUUCGGGUUGUAAACCUCUUUCAGCAGGGACGAAGCGCAAGUGACGGUACCUGCAGAAGAAGCACCGGCCAACUACGUGCCAGCAGCCGCGGUAAUACGUAGGGUGCAAGCGUUGUCCGGAAUUACUGGGCGUAAAGAGCUCGUAGGCGGUUUGUCGCGUCGUCUGUGAAAACCAGCAGCUCAACUGUUGGCUUGCAGGCGAUACGGGCAGACUUGAGUAUUUCAGGGGAGACUGGAAUUCCUGGUGUAGCGGUGAAAUGCGCAGAUAUCAGGAGGAACACCGGUGGCGAAGGCGGGUCUCUGGGAAAUAACUGACGCUGAGGAGCGAAAGCGUGGGUAGCGAACAGGAUUAGAUACCCUGGUAGUCCACGCCGUAAACGGUGGGCGCUAGGUGUGGGUUUCCUUCCACGGGAUCCGUGCCGUAGCUAACGCAUUAAGCGCCCCGCCUGGGGAGUACGGGCCGCAAGGGCUAAAACUCAAAGGGAAUUUGACGGGGGCCCGCACAAAGCGGCGGAGCAUGUGGAUUAAUUCGAUGCAACGCGAAGAACCUUACCUGGGUUUGACAUACACCGGGAAAGCCGUAGAGAUACGGGCCCCCUUGUGGUCGGUGUACAGGUGGGUGGCAUGGGCUGUCGUCAGCUCGUGUCGUGGAAGAUGUUGGGUUAAGGUCCCGCCACGAGCGCAACCAUUGUUCUUGUGUGCCAGCGCAUAUGGCUGGACGCAGAACUGACUGGUUCACUCGGAGAGG